rnacentral:rRNA from 1 species
GAUGAACGCUAGCGGGAGGCCUAACACAUGCAAGCCGAGCGGUAGAGUCUCUUCGGGGCCUUGAGAGCGGCGCACGGGGGCGGAACACGUCUGCAACCUGCCUUUAUCAGGGGGAUAGACGUUCGAAAGGAAGAUUAAUAACCCAUAAUAUAUUGAGUGGCAUCACUGGAGAUCGAAAACUCCGGUGGAUAGAGAUGGGCACGCGCCAGAUUAGAUAGUUGGUGAGGUAACGGCUCACCAAGUCAGUGAUCUUUAGGGGGCCUGAGAGGGUGAUCCCCCACACUGGUACUGCGACACGGACCAGACUCCUACGGGAGGCAGCAGUGUGGAAUACUGGACAAUGGGUGAUAGCCUGAUCCAGCCAUCCCGCGUGAAGGACGCCUGCCCUAUUGGUUGUAAACUUCUUUUGUACAGGGAUAAACCCAGAUACGUGUAUCUGGCUGACGGUACUGUACGAAUAAGCACCGGCUAACUCCGUG